rnacentral:rRNA from 1 species
UACAGAGGAUGCAAGCGUUAUCCGGAAUUAUUGGGCGUAAAGGGCUCGUAGGCGGUUUGUCACGUCGGGAGUGAAAACUCAGGGCUUAACCCUGAGCCUGCUUCCGAUACGGGCAGACUAGAGGUAUGCAGGGGAGAACGGAAUUCCUGGUGUAGCGGUGAAAUGCGCAGAUAUCAGGAGGAACACCGGUGGCGAAGGCGGUUCUCUGGGCAUUACCUGACGCUGAGGAGCGAAAGUGUGGGGAGCGAACAGG